CCUACGGGAGGCUGCAGUGGGGAAUAUUGGACAAUGGGGGGAACCCUGAUCCAGCCAUGCCGCGUGUGUGAAGAAGGCCCUCGGGUUGUAAAGCACUUUCAGUGAGGAAGAACGCCUGGUGGUUAAUACCCAUCAGGAAAGACAUCACUCACAGAAGAAGCACCGGCUAACUCCGUGCCAGCAGCCGCGGUAAUACGGAGGGUGCGAGCGUUAAUCGGAAUUACUGGGCGUAAAGCGCGCGUAGGUGGCUUGAUAAGCCGGUUGUGAAAGCCCCGCGCUCAACCUGGGAACGGCAUCCGGAACUGUCAAGCUAGAGUGCAGGAGAGGAAGGUAGAAUUCCCGGUGUAGCGGUGAAAUGCGUAGAGAUCGGGAGGAAUACCAGUGGCGAAGGCGUCCUUCUGGACUGACACUGACACUGAGGUGCGAAAGCGUGGGUAGCAAACAGGAUUAGAUACCCUGGUAGUC
rnacentral:rRNA from 1 species